UACGAAGGGGGCUAGCGUUGCUCGGAAUUACUGGGUGUAAAGGGUUCGUAGGCGGUGCGGCAAGUUGGGAGUGAAAUCUCUGGGCUUAACCCAGAGGCUGCUUCCAAAACUGCUGUGCUUGAGUGUGGGAGAGGCGCGUGGAAUUGCAGGUGUAGCGGUGAAAUGCGUAGAUAUCUGCAGGAACACCCGUGGCGAAAGCGGCGCGCUGGACCACUACUGACGCUGAGGAACGAAAGCCAGGGGAGCAAACGGG
rnacentral:rRNA from 1 species